GCCAAAUCAGUUCCAAAUCAAGCUCUAAUCACAUAUUAGUAAACACCUCGUUGUAAGGAUCAAAAGGCAAAGAGUCCGGUUCAUCUAGCGGACAAGCCGGAGGGAGUUCACGAGGAAAAGACGCGCUCUAAAAGUUCUCAGGUACUCAAGUAAAGGAUGAAGGUCAAGCAAGCGAGCCGAACCGAACACACAAUCUUUUAGAACGCUUCCGCAAUUAUGACUUUUGUUUUAGAUACUAAGUAAACUAAUGGUAGUUACCGUCUUGUAUGGGAUUUUAUAACAACAAUACAUGUAUGU